rnacentral:rRNA from 1 species
UACGGAGGGUGCAAGCGUUGUCCGGAUUUAUUGGGUUUAAAGGGUGCGUAGGCGGCCUUGUAAGUCAGUGGUGAAAUCCAGCAGCUUAACUGUUGAAGGGCCAUUGAUACUGCAGGGCUUGAGUGCUGAUGAGGUAGGCGGAAUUGACGGUGUAGCGGUGAAAUGCAUAGAUAUCGUCAAGAACCCCGAUUGCGAAGGCAGCUUACUGGGCAGUAACUGACGCUGAGGCACGAAAGCGUGGGGAUCAAACAGG